GACGAACGCUGGCGGCGUGCUUAACACAUGCAAGUCGAGCGGAGAGGCCCUUCGGGGUACUCGAGCGGCGAACGGGUGAGUAACACGUGAGUAAUCUGCCCUGCACUCUGGGAUAGCCUUGGGAAACUGAGAUUAAUACCGGAUAUGUUCACUUCCCGCAUGGGAUGGUGGUGGAAAGUUUUUCGGUGCAGGAUGUGCUCGCGGCCUAUCAGCUUGUUGGUGGGGUAAUGGCCUACCAAGGCUUCGACGGGUAGCCGGCCUGAGAGGGUGACCGGCCACACUGGGACUGAGACACGGCCCAGACUCCUACGGGAGGCAGCAGUGGAGAAUAUUGGACAAUGGGCGGAAGCCUGAUCCAGCAACGCCGCGUGAGGGAUGACGGCCUUCGGGUUGUAAACCUCUUUCAGCACAGACGAAGCGCAAGUGACGGUAUGUGCAGAAGAAGGACCGGCCAACUACGUGCCAGCCGCCGCCGUAA
rnacentral:rRNA from 1 species